rnacentral:rRNA from 1 species
CACGCACACACGCGCGGCAUAUCAAUAAGCGGAGGAAAAGAAACUAACAAGGAUUCCCUUAGUAACGGCGAGUGAAGCGGGAAGAGCUCAAAUUUGAAAUCUUCAAGGUUUCUACCUUGACGAAUUGUAGCUUAAAGAAGUGUUUUCUGUUGGAGUUUUGGUAAAAGUUCUUUGGAAUAGGACAUCAUAGAGGGUGAGAAUCCCGUAUUUGACCAUUACUUCCAGCGUUGUGAUACACUUUCAAAGAGUCGGAUUGUUUGGGAAUGCAGUCCAAAAUGGGUGGUAAAUUUCAUCUAAAGCUAAAUAUUGGCGAGAGACCGAUAGCGAACAAGUACCGUGAGGGAAAGAUGAAAAGAACUUUGAAAAGAGAGUUAAACAGUACGUGAAAUUGUCAAAAGGGAAGCGUUUGACACCAGUGUUGUUUUUCCGAAAAUCAAUUAUAAAUGUUUUGUUUCUGAGGAGUGAUGACUUCAUCGGCUUCCUUCUCUCUUUACGAAACUUUCUGUAAUGCACUUUUCGGUUAACAAGUCAACAUCAAUUUCUUUUGUUGUAAAAGGGUAUGAGGAAGGUGGCUUUCUUUUCGGAGAAAGUGUUUAUAGCCUUUAACCUCUGCAAUCGGAGAGAUUGAGGUCUGCAGCGUAGAUCCUUCGGGGUUAGAUACGUUUGUGCUAAGUUAUAGCUUUUCAUAGACAACUUGUUGACUAUGUUUAGUCUUGUAGCUUACUCGCUGACUGCUAUUUUACCUACGCUUAGGAUGUUGAUAGUCACAGCGUGUAC